GACGAACGCUGGCGGCGUGCUUAACACAUGCAAGUCGAACGGAAAGGCCUGCUUUCCCCUGUGGAUUGCGGGUACUCGAGUGGCGAACGGGUGAGUAACACGUGAGUGAUCUGCCCCCAACUUGGUUAUAAGCCUGGUAAACUGGGUCUAAUUCCCGAUGGUGCUGCAGGGUGUUGCCUGUGGUGGAAAACGAUUUUCUAGUGGUUGUGGAUGGGCUCGCGGCCUAUCAGCUUGUUGGUGGGGUAAUGGCCUACCAAGGCGGCGACGGGUAGCCGGCCUGGGAGGGUGGACGGCGACAUUGGGACCGGGCUACGCCCCAGAGUCCUACGGGAGGCAGCAGUGGGGAAUAAUGCACAAUGGGCGGAAGCAUGAUGGAGGGACGAGGGAUGAGGGAUGACGGCUUUCGGGUCGUAAACGUAUGUCGAGAGCGAGGAAGACACCUGGUUGGACGGGUGGUGACGGUAGUGGUAGAAGAAGCACCGGCUAACUACGUG
rnacentral:rRNA from 1 species